GGAGAGUUGCCGGAGCGGUUGAACGGGGCGGUCUCGAAAACCGUUGUACCUUCUGGGUACCCAGGGUUCGAAUCCCUGACUCUCCGCCA
rnacentral:tRNA from 1 species